CCUACGGGGGGCAGCAGUGAGGAAUAUUGGUCAAUGGGCGCGAGCCUGAACCAGCCAAGUAGCGUGAAGGAUGACUGCCCUACGGGUUGUAAACUUCUUUUAUAAAAGAAUAAAGUGAGGCACGUGUGCCUUUUUGUAUGUACUGUAUGAAUAAGGAUCGGCUAACUCCGUGCCAGCAGCCGCGGUAAUACGGAGGAUCCGAGCGUUAUCCGGAUUUAUUGGGUUUAAAGGGAGCGUAGGUGGGUUGAUAAGUUAGUUGUGAAAGUUUGCGGCUCAACCGUAAAAUUGCCAUUGAUACUGUCAGUCUUGAGUAUAGUUGAGGUAGGCGGAAUGCGUGGUGUAGCGGUGAAAUGCUUAGAGAUCACGAAGAACACCGAUUGCGAAGGCAGCUUACUAAACUGCCACUGACAUUGAUGCACGAAAGUGUGGGUAUCAAACAGGAUUAGAUACCCUGGUAGUC
rnacentral:rRNA from 1 species